rnacentral:miRNA from 1 species
UCAGUGCAAAACAGAACUUUG